UUGAGAGCGCUAAACAGUAGGUCGUCAGCAAUGAUUUGUACUACGCUGCUGUGGCGUUCACACAGCACAGUAUACGGUUUGGCUUUUGGCACACGAGGGGGCAACGAAGGCAGGAAAAAAUGAAUGCAUAAGCGACGGCGUGAUUUGGAAACUAGUCUAACAGCGUCUUUCGUAAAUGACACUACGCUGUCGCGUCGUUCGUCGUUCGCCAGAGCAGCUGAGUGCUACUGUAUGGAAUUUGUGUUAAAAAAUAAAUCGGUUAUUACUAUAUUAUACAAGACGUUGUUUAAUUGUAUUACUUUAUGUAAUUGACCACUGAAGUGAAGCCUGGUUUAAAUGUGUGUUAUUUAAAAAAAUAAUUAAAAGAAAAUUUCCAAAAACAGCCGAGAUUUCUAACAGCGUGUGGAACAUUGGAGUGAAAUCAGCUGUGCUGUGUAACGCCCAAAUUGCUGCAAGUUUGACAGCGAAAAGCAGUAGUCACAAUGACAAGCAAUCAGUGUGGGCAGGCAGCGCUGGAAUUGUGUCAAGAAAUAGUGCACCUACGCCUCUGAUAAUUUUACACUAAUGAAGUAUGAAAAUAAAUAAAAAUUUUGUGAGAUAAAAGUGUCGAUUAAAAUAAGUAAAGAGGAAGUGUCGAUUCGUGCGAAAAUUCGUGAAAAAAACUCGCGUGUGAAAUUGGAAUUGUCUCAUGCGAAAUGUAAACAAAUUUUGGUAGCGUGUUUGUGUUAUGAGGUGGCAGAAGCCUUAUUGUAACUGGAGUAAGGAUUAUCUACAAACAAAUUAGAGACUUGUGGAAGAAAUUUUGAAAGUUUAUAACUGAAAAUUAGAAAAGGUGAAAAGGCAAAUAGAAGUUAAUAACUUUCAAGAUUUUAUAUAUGUGAGUUUUAAACCGGGAUUAGUAUGAGUCAAGCAAGCAAAGAGUUAACUUUGUAUUAACAAAACCAAGUGCAAAGUACAUACAUAUGUGUUCAAAAGAGUGCUCAAAAAGUUGCAAACCAAAAUACAGAUGAUUAGUUUUGAUUGUUGUAAUUGUUGAGUAACAGAAGUGUAUUUAAAUAUUUGAAAUAAUAUUCAUAAAAAUAUUGAAAUAUUGGAUCAAAAUAUUUCUUGAGCAAAACAACAAAUAAAAUUUAGUCGGAAUCUACAAAAAGCUAAACUUUUCGAACGAAGAUAAGAAUUGCUGAACAGCAACGACGAGAAGAGCUUAACGGUUGACUUGUUGUCACAACCCAAAUCUUCGGCGCGUACUAAGCCUUGGCCUACGCAAGAGCGCUGAGAAAAGAAAUCAGCAAAAGCAAAUCAGCCGAAGGCAAUAAAUGCACGUUGCAUUGAUUCUUUCACUGCAAUCGUUAAAGUGAUGACUUGGUUGGAAAAACGAAACAACACAAACAACUGGUAACUUAAUCGCUUCAUACAGUUUAAGCGUCACAAGCAGCAUGUUUACGUAAUGUGAGAAAGUGUAAAGCUGCGAGCAACGAGAGAGCGAACCAAAGCAACCACAAAGCCAACUGACGCCGACGGCGCACAGCGCUGAUUGUGAUGCGACAGCAAAAUUGCAGGCAAACAUAAAGAAAAUAAGCAACACAGCCGAGCGGAAAUAUAAAAUAACGGCAAAAAAAGAAAAGAAACAUUGUUGACGACGCCAAAGCCAGAGCUGGUAGACAACAACACCAACAAGGUUGAUAUAAAUUGGUCAGCAGAGUAAUCAGCGGACUUGCGGAGCUGAGUGUGUGUGUGGGCAGAAAGCCGGAAGCAAGGCACUUGAAAUCAGCUAGAAAAAAAAAACAGGCAACUCAUAAACUACAACAACAAGCAAAAAAUAAAGACGCACACAGAUACAGCGUGCUCAACAACAAGUCCUCUAACACAAUCAAUUGUUGUGCUAAAAUAGCGGUGUGUCUACACAGCCAUUGCUGCGGCUGCUGUUGACAGUGACAGUGAAUAAGAAAGACGCACAAAUAAAGUGGCAUACAUAAAGUAGAAUGCACAAUAAAGUGAAGAUAAAGCAUCUAAUAACUACAACAAACAGCAAACAACAACAGCACAGGAAAUAUAUGGAAAUGCGAAGAGCUGGCUGGCUUUAUGCUGACAGCAAAAGAAAUUAACACAAAAGACUGAGCGAAACAAGUGACGAGGCAGCAGCCACAGUGUGUAGGUGGUCAUUU